GAAUGCUUCAACUUCCCUUAACUCACAGCAUACUCGGAAAGGAGUACAUUCUGCAGGGAAGUUGAUGAGGUUCUCUGGAAGAACAAACUAGAAGGACCCCUAAUCACUUUAUUCUUUAGACUUUUAAGACAUGGAUAAUUAUUUUGCUGAAUACUGUUCAUUGAUUGACUAGUGUAUAUACGGAUUAGCACAGGCUAAGAAAGGAAAGGGGGUUUUAUAAUCUGUAGUAAAUUAGAGGCUGCAAUCUAUACUGCUGAGAAUUUCUGUAUGUUUAGAGGCUAUUCAUGACUGUUAAUAGGCUUUACUCUUUACACUUGUGAGUUUAUUAUUGUGCUGAACUCUGUCCAUUAUAAUACAAAAUGUGUGCAUCCUUAAUAUUG
rnacentral:lncRNA from 1 species